ACAAAAGCUGAGAUGGGAAAAAGAGACCGAACACGCCUUUCAGAGAGCCGGCGGCUGCUGUGAGCCGGCAGACGGACGGUUUUGUACUGGCCCCGGAGCUUUCCGCCUGAACAGGGCGGGACGGCUGGCCGCGUUAAAGGCCGCUGAGAGGCGUUUUGCGCCUGAAUCAGGGUGGUACCGCGUUUUUACGCCCCUGAC
rnacentral:ncRNA from 1 species